rnacentral:rRNA from 1 species
UACGGAGGGGGCUAGCGUUGUUCGGAAUCACUGGGCGUAAAGCGCACGUAGGCGGCUCUGGAAGUUAGAGGUGAAAGCCCAGGGCUCAACCCUGGAAUUGCCUUUAAGACUGCAUCGCUUGAACAUCGGAGAGGUAAGUGGAAUUCCGAGUGUAGAGGUGAAAUUCGUAGAUAUUCGGAAGAACACCAGUGGCGAAGGCGACUUGCUGGACGAUUGUUGACGCUGAGGUGCGAAAGCGUGGGGAGCAAACAGG